CCUACGGGAGGCAGCAGUAGGGAAUAUUGCUCAAUGGGGGAAACCCUGAAGCAGCAACGCCGCGUGGAGGAUGAAGGUUUUCGGAUUGUAAACUCCUUUUGGUAGGGAAGAUAAUGACGGUAUCUGACGAAUAAGCACCGGCUAACUCCGUGCCAGCAGCCGCGGUAAUACGGAGGGUGCAAGCGUUACUCGGAAUCACUGGGCGUAAAGAGCGCGUAGGCGGGAUAGCAAGUCAGAUGUGAAAUCCUAUGGCUUAACCAUAGAACUGCAUUGGAAACUGUUAUUCUAGAGUGUGGGAGAGGUAGGUGGAAUUCUUGGUGUAGGGGUAAAAUCCGUAGAGAUCAAGAGGAAUACUCAUUGCGAAGGCGACCUGCUAGAACAUAACUGACGCUGAUGCGCGAAAGCGUGGGGAGCAAACAGGAUUAGAUACCCUAGUAGUC
rnacentral:rRNA from 1 species